rnacentral:tRNA from 1 species
GAAAUAUAUUUUUUAAGCUGCUAACUUAAUUUAUAGUGGUUGAAUCCAUUAAUAUUUCU